UACGUGGGGGGCAAGCGUUGUCCGGAUUUAUUGGGCGUAAAGAGCGUGUAGGCGGCUAUACAGGUCCGCUGUGAAAACUCGAGGCUCAACCUCGAGACGUCGGUGGAAACCGUAUGGCUAGAGUCCGGAAGAGGAGAGUGGAAUUCCUGGUGUAGCGGUGAAAUGCGCAGAUAUCAGGAAGAACACCCGUGGCGAAGGCGGCUCUCUGGGACGGUACUGACGCUGAGACGCGAAAGCGUGGGGAGCGAACAGG
rnacentral:rRNA from 1 species